GACGAACGCUGGCGGCGUGCUUAACACAUGCAAGUCGAACGGAAAGGCCCUGCUUUUGUGGGGUGCUCGAGUGGCGAACGGGUGAGUAACACGUGAGUAACCUGCCCUUGACUUUGGGAUAACUUCAGGAAACUGGGGCUAAUACCGGAUAGGAGCUCCUGCUGCAUGGUGAGGGUUGGAAAGUUUCGGCGGUUGGGGAUGGACUCGCGGCUUAUCAGCUUGUUGGUGGGGUAGUGGCUUACCAAGGCUUUGACGGGUGGCCGGCCUGAGAGGGUGACCGGCCACAUUGGGACUGAGAUACGGCCCAGACUCCUACGGGAGGCAGCAGUGGGGAAUAUUGCACAAUGGGCGGAAGCCUGAUGCAGCAACGCCGCGUGCGGGAUGACGGCCUUCGGGUUGUAAACCGCUUUCGCCUGUGACGAAGCGUGAGUGACGGUAAUGGGUAAAGAAGCACCGGCUAACUACGUG
rnacentral:rRNA from 1 species